GCCGCGGUAGCAUAACUUGGUUAUUGCGCCGGACUCAUAAUCCGGAGGUCGCGCGUUCAAAUCCCGCCCGCGGCA
rnacentral:tRNA from 1 species